GAUGAAGAACGUAGCGAAAUGCGAUAAGUAAUGUGAAUUGCAGAAUUCAGUGAAUCAUCGAAUCUUUGAACGCACAUUGCGCCCGUCAGUAUUCUGGCGGGCAUGCCUGUUCGAGCGUCAUUACGCCCCUCAAGUCCCCUGUGGACUUGGUGUUGGGGAUCGGCGAGGCUGGUUUUCCAGCACAGCCGUCCCUUAAAUUAAUUGGCGGUCUCGCCGUGGCCCUCCUCUGCGCAGUAGUAAAACACUCGCAACAGGAGCCCGGCGCGGUCCACUGCCGUAAAACCCCCCAACUUUUUAUAGUUGACCUCGAAUCAGGUAGAACUACCCGCUGAACUUAAGCAUAUCAAUAAGCGGAGGA
rnacentral:misc_RNA from 1 species